rnacentral:rRNA from 1 species
CAUGCAAGUCGAACGGGAAAUAUUUUAUUGAAGCUUCGGUUGAUUUAAUUUAUUUCUAGUGGCGGACGGGUGAGUAACGCGUGGGUAACCUGCCUUAUACUGGGGGAUAACAGCCAGAAAUGACUGCUAAUACCGCAUAAGCGCACAGAACCGCAUGGUCCGGUGUGAAAAACUCCGGUGGUAUAAGAUGGACCCGCGUUGGAUUAGCUAGUUGGCAGGGCAGCGGCCUACCAAGGCAACGAUCCAUAGCCGGCCUGAGAGGGUGAACGGCCACAUUGGGACUGAGACACGGCCCAGACUCCUACGGGAGGCAGCAGUGGGGAAUAUUGCACAAUGGGGGAAACCCUGAUGCAGCGACGCCGCGUGAAGGAAGAAGUAUCUCGGUAUGUAAACUUCUAUCAGCAGGGAAGAUAAUGACGGUACCUGACUAAGAAGCCCCGGCUAACUACGUGCCAGCAGCCGCGGUAAUACGUAGGGGGCAAGCGUUAUCCGGAUUUACUGGGUGUAAAGGGAGCGUAGACGGCGCAGCAAGUCUGAUGUGAAAGGCAGGGGCUUAACCCCUGGACUGCAUUGGAAACUGCUGUGCUUGAGUGCCGGAGGGGUAAGCGGAAUUCCUAGUGUAGCGGUGAAAUGCGUAGAUAUUAGGAGGAACACCAGUGGCGAAGGCG